rnacentral:rRNA from 1 species
UACGUAGGGUGCAAGCGUUGUCCGGAAUUAUUGGGGCGUAAAGGGCUCGUAGGCGGUUUGUCGCGUCGGGAGUGAAAUCCACUGGCUUAACUGGUGGCUUGCUUUCGAUACGGGCAGACUGGAGGUAUGCAGGGGAGAACGGAAUUCCUGGUGUAGCGGUGAAAUGCGCAGAUAUCAGGAGGAACACCGGUGGCGAAGGCGGUUCUCUGGGCAUGUCCUGACGCUGAGGAGCGAAAGUGUGGGGAGCGAACAGG